rnacentral:rRNA from 1 species
UACGGGGGGGGCAAGCGUUGUUCGGAAUUACUGGGCGUAAAGGGCUCGUAGGCGGCCAACUAAGUCAGACGUGAAAUCCCUCGGCUUAACCGGGGAACUGCGUCUGAUACUGGAAGGCUUGAAUCCGGGAGAGGGAUGUGGAAUUCCAGGUGUAGCGGUGAAAUGCGUAGAUAUCUGGAGGAACACCGGUGGCGAAGGCGACAUCCUGGACCGGUAUUGACGCUGAGGCGCGAAAGCCAGGGGAGCAAACGGG